rnacentral:pre_miRNA from 14 species
UGCAGCAGCCCCAGGGCCUUCCUGGCACCCUUCAUUCCACCGGAAUCUGUCUAUACAGAAACCAGAUUUCAGUGAAAUGAAGCCUGUCAGAGAGGCAGGUCA